CCUACGGGAGGCAGCAGCAAGGGAUAUUGCGCAAUGGACGAAAGUCUGACGCAGCGACGCCGCGUGAGGGAUGAAGGCCUUCGGGUCGUAAACCUCUUUUAUUGGUGAAGAGUAAGGACGGUAACCAAUGAAUAAGCCUCGGCUAACUACGUGCCAGCAGCCGCGGUAAUACGUAGGAGGCGAGCGUUAUCCGGAUUUACUGGGCGUAAAGCGCGUGUAGGCGGCUUUUUAAGUUGGCAGUGAAAGGUUCCGGCUCAACUGGGAUUUGCCUGUCAAUACUGGGAGGCUUGAGGGCACCAGAGGAAAGUGGAACUCGCAGUGUAGCGGUGAAAUGUGUAGAUAUCGCGAGGAACACCAGUGGCGAAGGCGGCUUUCUGGGGUGUUCCUGACGCUGAGGCGCGAAAGCGUGGGGAGCGAAGCGGAUUAGAUACCCGCGUAGUCCACGCCCUAAACGGUGAAUACUUGGUAUGGGGGGUAUCGACCCCUUCCGUGCCGAAGCUAACGCUUUAAGUAUUCCGCCUGGGAACUACGG
rnacentral:rRNA from 1 species